GUUGCGAACGUUUCGUUCGCUCAGAGAAUGCGUCCAUUUUCAAUCCAUUUCGAACCAGCUGGUUUGGGGGCAGCCAUGAAAGAUCUGCAUUCAUUGUUAGACAUGCGUGGGGGGCCGUCGAUUUUCGUUUGGGAGGUGCGCUGCAAAUCCAGCCGCACUUUUAGUCUUCGUCUCACAGAUUUGUGGUCGGGAGAUUUCUCAUCGUUUCUACAGCCUUCGACUCAGACGUCUUCAAUCUUUCUUGCUUGCGAGUUUUUGCAUCCUUUGUCUUCAGGUUCUUGGGUAAUCCCUAAUGCUAUAUAAGAGGAGCUGAGGUAUUUAUAUUUCACAACAUAUUGGGUUCUAUCAGGAAGGGGAUUGAAUCUCACAGAUUAGCUCAGGUAUUUCCAUCGUUCUUACUAUUAAUUUUUUUAAUCAAUUGUCGAUUCAAUGACUUUGCUCUCUUGGAGAAAUCUUAGAAAUGGAAAUCAUUCCCAAUUUCUGUUUUGGUUGCCGAUCAAACACUGGAAAGCAAAGACCAAGCGUGCUUUAAAAAAAAAAAAAUUUCCUUUUUUUAUCUGCUUUUGGUUGCUGUAUCCUAAA